rnacentral:rRNA from 1 species
CUUGGUCAUUUAGAGGAAGUAAAAGUCGUAACAAGGUUUCCGUAGGUGAACCUGCGGAAGGAUCAUUCACAAACGAGUGUUUUAUGGCACUCUUUAAAAAUCCAUAUCCACCUUGUGUGCAAUGUUUGUUGGGAAAGUCUUUUCUUUCCCUUCAUAAAUAUCAACCUAUAUUUUUAACAACAUUCGUCUGAUAACAUAUUAUGAAUAUACUUAAUUCAAAAUAUAACUUUCAACAACGGAUCUCUUGGCUCUCGCAUCGAUGAAGAACGCAGCGAAAUGCGAUACGUAAUGUGAAUUGCAGAAUUCAGUGAAUCAUCGAAUCUUUGAACGCAUAUUGCGCUCUUUGGUAUUCCGAAGAGCAUGCUUGUUUGAGUAUCAGUAAACACCUCAACCUCUCUUUUUGACAAAAAAAGGGAGGGUGGACUUGAGCUAUCCCAACGACCUUCACCGGUAGGCGGACGGCUUGAAAUGCAGGUGCAGCUGGACUUUUAUCUGAGCUAAAAGCAUAUCUAUUUAGUCCUCGUCAAACAGGAUUAUUACUUUUGCUGCAGCUAACAUAAAGGAUAAUUGUCCUCUUUGCUGACUGAUGCAGGAUUUUACGACACUUUAUGUGUUGUUCAACUCGAUCUCAAAUCAAGUAAGACUACCCGCUGAACUUAAGCAUAUCAAUAAGCGGAGGA